GAAACACACCGGAAGACAAGUCCUUGCAGCCUGCUGUCUCCGAGGGCAGUGGUGAGGCGCUGGGUGAGAGACCCUGAAACACGAGAUUUUCUUUCUUUGAACAUUAUGUUGAAUCAGCUGCAUUGAAGAAAUCUUACCAGCAGGUAGCAACAUGAAACCAAGAACUCAGGACACUAGUUCAUGAUGUCUGAGAGGAGAAUGGCAUUUGCUGUGUCCCUGACAAGAGGAAACACAGACUCAGACCAGAAAGGACAAUGCCACAUGAAGAUGGAGACAGAGAUUGGAUGUGUCUCCAAGCCAAGGAGCACCAAGGAUGA
rnacentral:lncRNA from 1 species